rnacentral:misc_RNA from 1 species
ACUCUUCAACCCACCGGUUCCUUGUUGAAUCGAGUUGGUGUUUGGAUUUUGAGCGUUUUGCAAUUUAACUAUUGCUCGUUCGUAAUACAUUAGCAUCUCAAUUUCGAAACUCGGAUUGACUCAGCGUAAUAGACUAUUCGUUGAGGACACCUUAGCAAUAGGGUGGCCGAAUUAGAUAAAAGUGGAAGCUUCCAAUCCCUCUAGUCAAAUUUUAG